rnacentral:lncRNA from 1 species
AUGUUUCAUCAUGUGCCCUUUGGAACCCUUAAAAAAAGUGUCAACUUUUUUUGUUUGUUUAUUUUUACAGCAUUGACCCUUUUCUAUUAAAGGUAUACCGCAUCGAGCAGGAUGAAGAUUUCCAGAAACUUGGAUCAUAUUUGAUUUGGGGGCCCUCCUAUUUGUUCUGUUCAAGCUGCUGACCACAUGCUUAGCUGCAUCUCCUUCUUGUCCUUCUUCCACCCUCCAAGAGGUAAUGUGAGAUCAUGGAUAGAUACUGGACUAGGAAUCAACAAUGUUUGAGUUUAAAUCUCACCUCAGACACUAGCUGUGUGGCCUUGGGUGAGGAUUCUAAGGGCAAGGGAGUUCACAUGGUUUUCCCAAGGUCACAUACAUGAUUACCAUACCAUCUGUGGGGAGAGAGACACUCAGCUGACCAGGGAACUCAUACAAUGGGCCACAUGCAUAGAGACCUUCAUCAAGCCAAGUCAUACUCUUGAAUGGCUGCACCACUUCUCCAGAUCACAUAAGGCCAGGAUACCUUCCUCCUUUUAUGCUCCAGAGUUGGUGAUGUCAUUGAAUAAAUUGCUUUUUCCAUUAAGCUGCUAUUCCUGUAUAUCACUUUCUGUUAGGUUUCUUUUUUAUCUGCUGGGUAUCUUCAUCAUUGUUAUCAUUUUAUGCUACCAUAUCCUGGUCUAAGACUAGUGUCCUGGCU